rnacentral:rRNA from 1 species
GAUGAACGCUGGCGGCGUGCCUAAUACAUGCAAGUCGAGCGAACGGACGAGAAGCUUGCUUCUCUGAUGUUAGCGGCGGACGGGUGAGUAACACGUGGAUAACCUACCUAUAAGACUGGGAUAACUUCGGGAAACCGGAGCUAAUACCGGAUAAUAUUUUGAACCGCAUGGUUCAAAAGUGAAAGACGGUCUUGCUGUCACUUAUAGAUGGAUCCGCGCUGCAUUAGCUAGUUGGUAAGGUAACGGCUUACCAAGGCAACGAUGCAUAGCCGACCUGAGAGGGUGAUCGGGCACACGGGAACUGAGACACGGUCCAGACUCCUACGGGAGGCAGCAGUAGGGAAUCUUCCGCAAUGGGCGAAAGCCGGACGGAGCAACGCCGCGUGAGUGAUGAAGGUCUUCGGAUCGUAAAACUCUGUUAUUAGGGAAGAACAUAUGUGUAAGUAACUGUGCACAUCUUGACGGUACCUAAUCAGAAAGCCACGGCUAACUACGUG